UAAGAGAGUUUUUGAGACCACAGUGUUUAGUGAAUGGGUCUCCCCUGCAGUCUCUCCACUCACCCGUCCACCAGGCCCUGCUUCUCUAUCAGCCGCUGUGUUUCCUUUCUGGAGAUGCCACCAUGAAACCACGGCUGGGACUUAUGGAUGGCUACAGACAGACACAGACGGCUUGCCCCUCCUCCCUCUCUGCGCUCUGGGCCUCCGUUGGGUUCUCGAUGACCCGCCCGCCGGCCUUGCCCGAGAAGUCCAUGGCCACCAGGCUCGCCUCGGACUUUGACUGCUCACACAGAGAAACAAGCAGCGUGUGUGAGAAGAGAAAUGUGAGACGACGCUACACAAUGAUUUCUCCUCUUAAAUCAUAUCAUGUCUGAUGAUCUCACUUUGGCAUCUGUGAGUUUGCUUCCUUCCAGGAUUUUCGGGGCCGACUUGGAUAACUGGUAGUUGCACUGAAGCUGCUUCCCAUACUGCGCACACACAAAAUAAAGACAUCUAAAAUCCCAUCUCUCUGAAGUGUUUACCUUGAUGCAGAAGGUGAAGUCUGUAGGCGCUCCGUACAGUUUACGGCUGUUCACCACUGUGUACACGUUCAGAUCGUCCAGAUCAGCAACAUACUGAAGGUGGCGAGGCUCCUGUUUGAUCAAAAUGUUAUUGAAAUGGCAAUAUGGACUAGUACAAUUCCCAAAUCACAGGAAGCACAAUAUUUGAUCAUGUGUUAAAAUACCACUUGAAUGCAAUAUUGUAGAGAUGCAAAGAUAUCCCGGCCUUCAAAUAAUAUUCUACAAAACAGAUUUGUUUGGUAUAGACCACACCAUAAGCAGUUUUAAUGAUGAUGAGAAUUAUGAUUUAAAAAAGAUCAACCCCUUCAGUAUGCUGAAGAUUCAGCAUACUGAAAUUGCAAUAUCAGCCAAAAUAAAUGGAACAAGUUAUUUUUGUAUAAUCUUAAGCGUAAAUGAAGUUGCUGAUAGAAGUGUUCCUCUCACAUGAUUUGUCCUUUGUUUUCAGAUGAUGAUGAAUGGCCGGGUUGUGGGUUUUCAUAGAUUAUUUUAUAAAAAAAGUGUCAUUUAUCCAUUUAGUCUGCGCUUAUUUAUUCAUUAUGUUUGACUCUGACCUUGGAGGAGCCUUUGGUGGAGCAGUAGAGCCCGGAGCGGCGGAGGAAAAAGUAGACCUUCUUCCAGGCCUUACGACUGGGCUCUUUGACCUGCAGGAAGCCCUGAAUCUCCGGACACGUCCCGGACUUCAGCAGGUUCUGAGGAACACAAGGGAUCAGAACAGUGAGCUGUUGUUCUCAGGCUACUAAUGCACAAAAAAUUAUGUAUGAAAAAGGAAAAUUGUGUUAAUAAAAAUGUAUGAACACAAUAUUUUAUGAUAUAGAAAAAAACUGUUGCAAAACAAGUAUUUCAAAAUAUAUGCCCUUGAUUUAG